GUCACAUGUUGUCAAACAUGGCUACCUACACCACCAUCAUAGAAGAGAUGGAAGUGAGUUCUUCUGCAGCACCCCAGAGCCGGCCUGCAGUCAGGAAGGCCUCCCCAGAGGCAUCCACGAAGCUGCCUGCCAACCUGGGUGCCCCAGGCAUGGGCCCCUCUAAGCCUGCCCUAGGAGGAGAACAGUUUGUGUGACACAGGGGGCGGAGGCUGGGUCUGAAUCUUUUUUUUUUUUUUUUUGAAACAGAGUUCGCUGUGUCGCCCAGGCUGGAGUGCAGUGGUGCAAUCUCACCUCACUGCAACCUCCGCCUCCCGAGUUCAAGCGAUUCUCCUGCCUUAGCCUCUCUAGUAGCUGGGAUUGCAGGUGUGCACCAUCACGCCUGGCUAAUUUUUGUAUUUUUUAGCAGAGACGGGGUUUCUCCAUAUUGGGCAGGCUGGUCUGAACUCCUGACCUCAGGUGAUUCGCCCACCUCAGCCUCUCAAAAUGCUGGGAUUACAAGCGUGAGCCACCGCGCCCAGCUGGGUCUGAAUCUUUAACAGUUCCCCUCCGCUCCUGGAGCCCCUCCCACAGCCAGCCCUUGCUCACCAGCGGGGGAACCAACAGCCCCUUCCUCACCCUCCUGGGGGUUGGGGUCUCUCUCCACAAUACCAGUGCCGGGACGCAUCCCUCGUCUUCUCUGCUCCUUUCCGUUGUCCGGAGGCCUAGGCCCAGUCAUCCAGCCAGCCUCCACCCAGCUCCUCUCCCUGCACACAAAGACUGACCCCAUCAAGCUGCACUUCCUGAAACACACCCACAAACCAGAAACUCAGCCUCCCCUUUGCCCGCAGGAUGCCCAUGGGCAAAACUGUCACCAAGAGAAGAGAGGAGGGGCCCAAACCGGCUCUGUCUCUGUGGAGAAAGAGCCUGCCUAGGGCUGGACCCUGGUUGUGUGGCUUCAGGGCAGGACCCAAUCUCGGAGGAGCUGCAAAUCUCGGCAUGCUCG
rnacentral:lncRNA from 10 species